rnacentral:rRNA from 1 species
GUAUUACAACCCACCGAGAACUGUUAUCUGUCCUACUGUUGAUUGUAAGCAGACGAAAUGGGGGAAUGCUAUGAGCCGCCUUAACUGUACGCUCUAACCCAUCAGUCGUUCCUAGGUCCGCCCUGGGAGUUUACACCAGCAGCUAGUUGAUUAAUUACGAGCGCUUAUUAAGCCUGUAGCAUAGCUUGCUGCUCGUAGUGACCUUAUUAACCCCUUUUUCUAUUAUUUACUGAUUUGUAUGUUUAGAUGAAUUCCUGGCUUCGGUCGGUUGAGUUUAUAUAGAUGUCGUAUAUUACUAAUACGAAACAACUCUUAGCAACGGAUAUCUUGGUUCUCGUAACGAUGAAGAGCGCAGCGAAAUGCGAUACGUAAUGCGAAUUGCAGAAUUCAGUGAAUCAUCAAAUUCUUGAACGCAACUGGCGCCUUCAGGUUCACCUGGAGGCACGUUUCUCUCAGUGUCGGUUAUACUCUCUCCUUCAACUAUGAUUAAUUUCGUAGCGGCAAGGGAAGAUGGGUGUUAUGAUGUUACAGUCAUAUCGCUUGAAAUCGAAUGAGUUAGUUUCUCAUAGUUGGUGUUGCUCUUCGGAGUUGAUGCCGCUGCUUUCGACUUAGUGAUGUGGGUAAAUCAUUUUCGGAUGAUACUUUACAUCAAUACUGUGUUGUUAGUGGUUUACUGUGGUGACAAUUAGCGAAAAAUGGAGUUAGUGUAGCAAUACAUUUCCUCAUAUUUUGACCUGAGAUGAAGCGAGGCUACCCGCGGAAUUUAAGCAUAUUAUUACGCGGAGGAAAAGAAACUAACAAGGAUUCCCCUAGUAACGGCGAGUGAAGCGGGAAGAGCUCAAGUUUAAAUCUGCGUGCUUUUGUACGCCGAGUUGUAAUCUCGAGACAGGCUGUCUGUGGUGACGUCGGUACAAGUACCUUGGAAGAGGUUAUCAGAGAGGGUGACAAUCCCGUCGCUGACCGACAGUUCGCCACUUUCGACGUUUGUUCACAGAGUCGGAUUGCUUGGGAGUGCAGUCCUAAUUGGGUGGUAAAUUUCAUCUAAAGCUAAAUAUUGACGAGAGACCGAUAGCGAACAAGUACCGUGAGGGAAAGAUGAAAAGAACUUUGAAAAGAGAGUCAAAAAGUACUUGAACUUGUUAAGAGGGAAGAGUUGAAAACUAGUGUUACUUGUAGUUACUUUCCCGUUCUGACUGAAACGGCUGCGUACUGAGAGUUUAACCCUCUGUGCGUAAUUGAAUUAGUUGGAGCGGUCCCUGUAAUUAUGAGUGGUCAGCAUCAUUUCGAAGCGUGGGAGAAAGCUAUGUGGAAGGUAGGGUCUUCGGACCUGUUAUAGACAUGUAGCUAUACCAUGCUUUGGAUUGAGGAUGUAUCGGCGCUCCGUUUUACGGAGUGACCACCUGUUACCUCAUAUAUUCUAGAUGCUGGAAAACAAUGUUUUGCUGUGUUUAGGGUGUGUGACUGUGGUGGGG